rnacentral:ncRNA from 1 species
UAAAAGUUUUAUUUUAGCUUUAUAUUUUAUUUUUAGUAUAAUUUAUAUACAGGUUUUUGCGUGAAUUUUAAUUUAUUUUAAAAAUUUAUUAUAUUUAUUUAUUUGUAGUGAAUAGUUUUAUUAAUUAAAGAAAUUUAGAAAUAGUAAUAUUAUAUAGUAUUGAACAAAUUUGUGCCAGCAGUCGCGGUUAAACAAAAGAUACAAAUAAAUGUUUUUAGUUUAAAGUUAGAUAGUUUAUAAAAAAAAUUAUUUAAUUAUAUUAGGUGAAAUUUUAUAAUUAUAAAAUUUUGAAGAUGUAAUAAUUGAAGCUUGUAAAUUUUAAUUAUAAACUAGGAUUAGAUACCCUAUUAUUUAAAAUGUAUUUAUUGAACUUGAGUAAUAAUAGUUAUAUUCUUUAAACUUAAAAAAUUUGGCGGUAUUUUAGUCUAUUCAGAGGAACCUGUUUUUUAAUCGACAUUCCACGAUGAACCUUACUUAAAUUUAUGUAUUAGUUUGUAUACCGUCGUUAUAGAAAAUUUUAUGAGAACAAUAAUUUUCAAUAUAUUAAUAAAAUUAUAUAUCAGAUCAAGGUGCAGCUUAUGUUUAAGAUAAUAAUGGGUUACAAUAAAUUUAUUUACACGGAUUUAAAAAUGAAAAAUUUAUUAAAGGUGGAUUUGAUAGUAAAAUUUUAUAGACUAUCAAUUUGAUUUUAGCUCUAAAAUAUGUACAUAUCGCCCGUCACUCUUGUCCUUAAGGUAAGAUAAGUCGUAACAUAGUAGGUAUACUGGAAAGUGUGUCUAGAAUUCA